GGAGACUGAGCCCUCUGACAAUGACUUGAGACUGGAGACUUCCUCCAAGAGAGAGAGGAGAGAUGCACUGUUCAUUCAGCUGGAGAGCUGUGCAAAUACCAGAGCCACCCGCCUUUUCCUGACAGUGGGAGCUGGGCCCAAGUGUGGGCUGCUCCUCCUACUAGAGGCACCACAAGAAGAGGACCACCUUCCUCAAACCUUCCUGGAAGUCAGAGCACUGGCUAUGGACUUCCCUCAAUCCUCAGAGGACUCUCUUUCAGCGAUGGCUCAGAGCCUCUUAGGACAGAGAGGGACCAGAGCUUCCCCCCAAAGCAAGAUCCCUGUCUUAUCUGACAGGUAUGAGGGCUUAGGAAUGGGACAGAAGAUGUGACAAGGUUACAUGUAGCACAGGGGCUAGGUUAAUAAAGAAAUCAAAGAGGAAAG
rnacentral:lncRNA from 1 species